UUUUUAGUAUAAAUAAGUUCCAUGCAAUAUUUGGGACAUAUUUAUACUAAAU
rfam:Nomascus leucogenys chromosome 22a, whole genome shotgun sequence.